rnacentral:rRNA from 1 species
CGACCGGCGCACGGGUGAGUAACACGUAUGCAACCUGCCCUCUUCAGGGGGACAACCUUCCGAAAGGGAGGCUAAUCCCGCGUAUAUCGGUUUCGGGCAUCCGAGAUCGAGGAAAGAUUCAUCGGAAGAGGAUGGGCAUGCGGCGCAUUAGCUAGACGGCGGGGUAACGGCUCACCGUGGCGACGAUGCGUAGGGGUUCUGAGAGGAAGGUCCCCCACACUGGUACUGAGACACGGACCAGACUCCUACGGAAGGCAGCAG